UUGGAGGGCAAGUCUGGUGCCAGCAGCCGCGGUAAUUCCAGCUCCAAUAGCGUAUAUUAAAGUUGUUGCAGUUAAAAAGCUCGUAGUUGAAUUUCGGGAUCAAUGUUUCGGUCAUGCCGUUGGUAUGUACUGAUAUUAUUGAUUUCUCACCUUCUAAAGAACCGUAAUGCCAUUAAUUUGGUGUCACGGGGAAUUAGGACUGUUACCUUGAAAAAAUUAGAGUGUUUAAAGCAGGCUCACGCUUGAAUACAUUAGCAUGGAAUAAUGAAAUAGGACAUCCGAUUCUAUUUUGUUGGUUUCUAGGAUCGAUGUAAUGAUUAAUAGGGAUAGUUGGGGGCAUUAGUAUUCAAUUGUCAGAGGUGAAAUUCUUGGAUUUAUUGAAGACUAACUACUGCGAAAGCAUUUGCCAAGGAUGUUUUCAUUAAUCAAGAACGAAAGUUAGGGGAUCGAAGACGAUCAGAUACCGUCGUAGUCUUAACCAUAAACUAUGCCGACUAGGGAUCGGAUGAUGUUAAUUUUUUAAUUGACUCGUUCGGC
rnacentral:rRNA from 1 species